CCUCCUGUGACAAAAAAUCAGCACUAAGGACUUUGAAGAAGUUUUUACUUAGACGUCUUGGGCAAUAUCAACGUCUUAACAUGCAAAACUUUGACAACUACUAACAAGACAAUAGACACUGAACAGAACAAUCAACAUAAAACAAACAAUUGACUUUAGGGCAUGUAAACAGUUAUGACAGUUUCUUCCUUUUUUUUUUUUUUUUCAGACAGACAAGGGGAGGGGCUCCUGUGAUGGGAUCAGUCAGAUGCCUGCCUGGCCGCUCCCCCUGAGGGGACUUGGGCUCCUCUUAACAUUGGCAGGCUGGUAUAAACUUCCGGCUCAGAUCAAGCUAUGCCUGAUGCUGCCUUAAGCCUUAUGAGGUCGCCACGGAACCGCAGAAACUCCUGGAGGGCAGAGCUGUGUCUGCCAUCUUCAUCAUUGCAUUACCACCACCAAGCACAGUGCCUGGCACAAAAGAGUUGCUCAAUAAAUAAAUCAGGAUGAAUGGAUAAAUACAUGGAUAGGCACUUUGAGCUACAGAUGAGUUUAAAUACUUUGUGUUUUUCUUAGUCAAACAUGUGCAAUUAAGCAUGUGAUAAAUGAUAUGAUGACCACACCUGUGUGUUGCCUGAUGUUCUUUGCAAUCACUAAAUGAAGUCAAUUGUGCCUGUUUUGACAGUUCUGUUUUCAACCUAAUGAUCUGUUUCUUUUAACUUCUGGCUGUUGGCUUUGUUUGGGUUUGUUAGCCUGACAAAGUGGCAGACAUUAGUAUUUGCUCUUUUGUUUAAAUGUCAUGAACUUUAAAAAUGCCUUUGCUUUUGGUAAGAAACCCUAGUUAGGACAGUCUAGCAGUCAGGAUGAUUUGGGUUCUGGUGCAGUAACAACAAUCC
rnacentral:lncRNA from 10 species